rnacentral:rRNA from 1 species
AUUGAACGCUGGCGGCAUGCUUUACACAUGCAAGUCGAACGGCAGCGCGGGCUUCGGCCUGGCGGCGAGUGGCGAACGGGUGAGUAAUACAUCGGAACGUGCCCAGUAGUGGGGGAUAGCCCGGCGAAAGCCGGAUUAAUACCGCAUACGACCUGAGGGUGAAAGCGGGGGAUCUUCGGACCUCGCGCUAUUGGAGCGGCCGAUGGCAGAUUAGCUAGUUGGUGGGGUAAAGGCCUACCAAGGCGACGAUCUGUAGCUGGUCUGAGAGGACGACCAGCCACACUGGGACUGAGACACGGCCCAGACUCCUACGGGAGGCAGCAGUGGGGAAUUUUGGACAAUGGGCGAAAGCCUGAUCCAGCAAUGCCGCGUGUGUGAUGAAGGCCUUCGGGUUGUAGAGCACUUUUGGCGGGAACGAAAAGGACUGUGCCAAUACCACGGUUCGAUGACGGUACCCGCAGAAUAAGCACCGGCUAACUACGUG